AGCUGCAGCUGGGAAGCAAAGAGGAGGCCAACAGAUCAACACGAGGCUCAACCAGAGAGACGUCCGAAGACCCUUGGAGAACCGACAAUGUUUUUAAACUUGCCCAACUAACUAAAAAUAACUAUUGAACUCAACGAAGAACUUUGGGCUCACCCCACGCAUCCCAUGCCGACCAGUAUAUCCAGGCGGACCGGCGCACAGGUGGCCAUGGAGAAGUGUAUGGUGGUCUGUGUAUCCCAGAGGUCCCUAAUGAACACAGGCUGGAGUUGAUAUGACCACCAGCUAAGUGUGUGUGUUUUCAGAGUGCUGACAGACAGACCAGCGUGGGGAUCGAUAGCCCCUUACCAGCACCCUGUGAUUUGACAGAGCAGAUCGAUGGAGGAGUCAGAGAAGAGAGGAAAGGGCACAGACAGACCUGCAGGACUUCUUCUACCCAUCUAUCAAUUCAUCUUUCCAUUACAUUUCAAUCUAUCUAUAAGCAAGAAACUUUUUGUGAUGUUGGUGAAUUGACCUUCAAGGCGACAUGUCCCAUCAGGGACAGACCUGUGUGAAUAGAAACUUAAAGGGUAGACAGAAUGAAUUGAUUUGGUCUGGACAGGGAGUAAACUUGUUGAACCUUCUCCUCCAGGAGGCCAGUCUGAGUGACGUCAUAAAUAUGAUGAGCAAUGUAGCAAGAGGAAGCAAAGUUAGGAAUAGGAAAGUGUUUGCAUAGGUUGAAAUGAUGGAGGAUGGCAAACACGAGGACAGCAGCUCUUGCUCUCUCUCUCCCUUCAUCCCUCCCUCCCUCCCUCCCUCUCUCUGCAAACACUUACAACCUUCUAUAUUCACCUUGUAUGUCUUCUCCAUGUAACAUUUACCUCUUUAGUAAUAAACCGCAGAGACAAGGUCUUCAACUUUGUGCUGGAGGGUGUUUACAUUGUGUUUAGCAUUGCAUAUGGUGUGAUAUGUGGAGACAAAGGGCCUCAGGCAUCUGUGGAAACCAGAAGCUGCAAAGAAAGCUGCAUGUUUUGCCUUUGGACGUACCCUAACUUAAAGCAUGCAUUUUACUGUACAUGUCUGCCCUCCAGUGUGUUCCUGCGAUAAAUGUGUUUGGCUGCUUACUAUUUUUAUUGCAGACAAAAUAAAAAUACUCCACAGAAA